rnacentral:lncRNA from 1 species
AUGCUAAGAAUAAUAAAAUGGCAUUUUCCAGUAACCUAUAGUUUGCCUCUGCCAAAGCAACGAUGCGUCACUUGGAUGCCAAAAAGCACUGAAACAGGAAGAGUUGCUGUUGGGUCCCAGCAUGGUGACUUCAUCACAGGCCUCAGCUUCAAACUGUGGAAAAAGAUGAGGACUUUGAAUUUCACGUCUUCAAACAAUGGGCAGCAGCUCCUUGCAGGAUCACACGUGGUGAUUCUGCAUCCAAUGGGAAGCAGGAUACAGGGACAUGGAGGAAAACCAUCAGUGGAUUUCUAGUGCCAGCUCAUCUGCAGGAUCUCCAGGAAAAACCUUUAGCUACGUCUGCAUAAGGAUGACUUGAACUGCAAAUACUGUGUAUGUAAAUGGUACGAACACAUUUUAAACUAAAUGUGCGCAGUGUGUUUAGAGCAGUGCAGAAAAUUAGUAAUAAAUGCAAAAGUUACAGUCUACA